CGGGGUGUCGUAUAGUGGUAGUACGCUUGCUUUGGGAGCAUGUAGUCCCAGUUCGAUUCUGGGCACCCCGACCA
rnacentral:tRNA from 1 species